GUCAUGAUCAUGGCUCACUGCAGCCUCGACUUUGCAGAUUCAGGGACAGUCUUUCGUUAUGUUUCUCAAGCAGUCAGUAACUCUUGGGCUGAAGUGAUCCAGGCCACUUUGGCCUCCCAAAGUGCUGGGAUUACAAGGCCAGAGUGCAAUGGCAUGAUCUUGG